UACGGAGGGGACUAGCGUUGUUCGGAAUUACUGGGCGUAAAGCGCACGUAGGCGGAUUUGUAAGUCAGGGGUGAAAUCCCGGGGCUCAACCUCGGAACUGCCUUUGAUACUGCAAAUCUCGAGUCCGGAAGAGGUGAGUGGAAUUCCUAGUGUAGAGGUGAAAUUCGUAGAUAUCCGGAGGAACACCGGUGGCGAAGGCGGCUUCCUGGACCGACACUGACGCUGAGGCGCGAAAGCGUGGGGAGCAAACAGG
rnacentral:rRNA from 1 species